AUUGAACGCUGGCGGCAGGCCUAACACAUGCAAGUCGAACGGUAACAGGAAGAAGCUUGCUUCUUUGCUGACGAGUGGCGGACGGGUGAGUAAUGUCUGGGAAACUGCCUGAUGGAGGGGGAUAACUACUGGAAACGGUAGCUAAUACCGCAUAACGUCGCAAAACCAAAGAGGGGGACCUUCGGGCCUCUUGCCAUCGGAUGUGCCCAGAUGGGAUUAGCUAGUAGGUGGGAUAACGGCUCACCUAGGCGACGAUCCCUAGCUGGUCUGAGAGGAUGACCAGCCACACUGGAACUGAGACACGGUCCAGACUCCUACGGGAGGCAGCAGUGGGGAAUAUUGCACAAUGGGCGCAAGCCUGAUGCAGCCAUGCCGCGUGUAUGAAGAAGGCCUUCGGGUUGUAAAGUACUUUCAGCGGGGAGGAAGGGAGUAAAGUUAAUACCUUUGCUCAUUGACGUUACCCGCAGAAGAAGCACCGGCUAACUCCGUG
rnacentral:rRNA from 1 species